UCCUGGCUAGCUCGGUCGGUCGAUCGCGAGGUUCUUAAUCUCGAGGUUGUAGGUUCGAACCCCACGUUAGAAG